GCACAGGUCUAGAAGCUUCACAAUGGUAUCCAAGUUAAUCCUCCCAGCACCGGUAUGAGGGUGAUGUCAAUAUCCUUUUUCUAUAAAGAAGCCUCUGCAGCUCAGAGCAGGGGAUGAGCUGAUGAUAUUUCCCCAACUUGAUGGCGUUUUAUCGGCCACUGGCAAGGAUGGCUGGGGAGGCUCUGCAGCAACGCGGAGCACGGCUACGAGAAGAGGUUAAUUAAGGAAAUCAGGCUGCAAACCAUGUGCCCCGAGACGAGCUGCGUAAACUGUGCAUAUAAAACACUGGAACUCAAUGUACCACCAUUCUACUUGUGUCAAGAGGAUGAGAUUAUGGUAGUCUUCAUAUUUAUAUACAAUUUAACAAAGCCUGGGGCUUCCCUGGUGGCGCAGUGGUUAAGAAUCCACCUGCCAAUGCAGGGGACACAGGUUUGAGCCCUGGCCAGGAAGAUCCCACAUGCCGCGGAGCAACUGAACCCGUGCACCACAACUACUGAGCCUGCGUGCCACAGCUACUGAAGCCCGCGCACCUAGAGCCCGUGCUCCGCAACAAGAGAAGCCACCACAAUGAGAAGCCCGCGCACCCCAACGAAGAGUAGCCCCCGCUCGCCACAAGUAGAGAAAGCCCACGUGCAGCAACGAAGACCCAACACAGCCAAAAAUAAAUAAAUAAAAUAAAUUAAUUAAAA